GAUGAACGCUGGCGGCGUGCCUAAUACAUGCAAGUCGAGCGAACGGACGAGAAGCUUGCUUCUCUGAUGUUACCGGCGGACGGGUGAGUAACACGUGGAUAACCUACCUAUAAGACUGGGAUAACUUCGGGAAACCGGAGCUAAUACCGGAUAAUAUUUUGAACCGCAUGGUUCAAAAGUGAAAGACGGUCUUGCUGUCACUUAUAGAUGUAUCCGCGCUGCAUUAGAUAGUUGGUAAGGUAACGGCUUACCAAGGCAACGAUGCAUAGCCGACCGGAGAGGGUGGUCGGCCCCACUGGAAUUGAGACAAGGGCCAGACCCCUAAGGGAGGCAGGAGUAGGGAAACGUCCGCAAUGGGCGGAAGCCUGACGGAGCAACGCCGCGUGAGUGAUAGAAGGUUUCGGAUCGGAAAACUCUGUUAUUAGGGAAGAACAUAUGUGUAAGUAACUGUGCACAUCUUGACGGUACCUAAUCAGAAAGCCACGGCUAACUACGUG
rnacentral:rRNA from 1 species